GAUCAUGGCUCAGGAUGAACGCUGGCGGCGUGCUUAACACAUGCAAGUCGAACGGGAAUUAUCUUAUUGAAACUUCGGUCGAUUUAAUUUAAUUCUAGUGGCGGACGGGUGAGUAACGCGUGGGUAACCUGCCUUAUACAGGGGGAUAACAGUCAGAAAUGACUGCUAAUACCGCAUAAGCGCACAGAGCUGCAUGGCUCAGUGUGAAAAACUCCGGUGGUAUAAGAUGGACCCGCGUUGGA
rnacentral:rRNA from 1 species